rnacentral:rRNA from 1 species
UACGGAGGGGGCGAGCGUUAUUCGGAAUUAUUGGGCGUAAAGGGCGCGUAGGCGGCUUGUUAAGUCAAAGGUGAAAUCCCUCGGCUCAACUGGGGAGGGUCACUCGAUACUGAUCGACUCGAAGGCAGAAGAGGGAAGCGGAAUUCCCGGUGUAGUGGUGAAAUGCGUAGAUAUCGGGAGGAACACCAGUGGCGAAGGCGGCUUUCUGGUCUGCUCUUGACGCUGAGGCGCGAAAGCUAGGGUAGCAAACGGG